UACGAAGGGGGCUAGCGUUGCUCGGAAUUACUGGGCGUAAAGGGCGCGUAGGCGGACAGUUUAGUCAGAGGUGAAAGCCCAGGGCUCAACCUUGGAAUUGCCUUUGAUACUGGCUGUCUUGAGUUCGGGAGAGGUGAGUGGAAUGCCGAGUGUAGAGGUGAAAUUCGUAGAUAUUCGGCGGAACACCAGUGGCGAAGGCGACUCACUGGCCCAAUACUGACGCUGAGGCGCGAAAGCGUGGGGAGCAAACAGG
rnacentral:rRNA from 1 species